UUUAAGCAUAUCCACUCAGUGGAGGAGAAGCAAGAAACCUCGAUGGCUUCAGUAACGGCGAGUGAACUGGCAACACACGCGAUCGGGCUCAACCCGAACCUGGAUCCCCAAACCGCACCGCUGGUGCGUUCGGCUUCCGUGGGUCUUUCAGCUGAUGCUGUGGGCAGAAAGGAGCAGGCGGUCUGUCCCGGGUGGCUGCCGCACCAGGGAGUGCCCUGGAAAGGCCCACCACAGGGGGAAACUGUCCCGUACGCUGGCCCGCGUGUGGCGGCGCCUGGGACGGGCCGUCCGUAUCCUCGAGUAGAGUGGCUUGGGACUGCAGUUUGAAGCGCCAGGUGUAUCCCUGGCAAGGCAGAACAUCCGACAUGAGACCGAUAGCGCACAAGUAGAGUGAUUGAAGGAUGCAAAGGACUUUGCAAAGAGGGUUAAAAGUCCCUGAAGCCGCGGCGGGGGCAGCGGCGGGCGGCCCCGUGCGCGCUUGUGGAGCAGAAGCGAGGCGGCACACCGUCCGGUGUGCUGUCCGUGCGUGAAAGGGCUGGCUUUCGUUGUGGCAAAGAGAGCAGAGACGAUGCGGGGAAAGAAGACUGACUGGGCUGUGCGUUCGGAUCACGGAGAGACGCAACAGGGCCCGACCGAGAGCUUGGCCACCCAACCUGGAGGGCAGAAGGAAGGAGCCGCGCCCGGAAAGCCCACCGCCCGGUGGAGAAACCGGCCGAAAAGCCCCCGGUGCCUGGGUCCUCACCGACCCGGCCGGCGGGCGAAGUACGUGGUUGGACCUCCUGCAACCCGGGCGAGGACCAUGGGACGGCCCGACCGGGACGCCUUCCCAGGUGGGCAAGAAGGCCCCCCGGCUCUGCCGGGGGCAAACCGGUUGGCACAAGGAGGGACGGCCCCCUCCGSGCCCGCCCGCACACGCUGGUCUUGGUCCGAGCCCCAGGCGAGAGAAAAGGCUCCCCGUCCCAAGCAACCUCGGGCCAGCCCGCGGCCGGCCGCUGAGCCCUCCCCCGAGGGGGUGGAUCGUAGUCGCGGCGGCCCCGCGGUGGCACCCUGCCUGGCGGGGCCCGAGGCUUGUCAUGAUGGUGGUGUUGGCACACGCGGCAGAAAAGCGGGUACAUCCCGCGGCCCAACAAGGCAAAAAGGGGCCGUGUCUGUGGUGGCAAAGAAGGAGCAAAAAGGGGGUCUCUACGGAGCCCCCGCAUCCGGAGGAUGGCUGUUGCGCUGGCUGAACCCCUGGUCGCGUCUCCGGGCGCGCCAGUGAACCCCGCGGCUCACGGUUUGGGGCCCGGGCGGUGGCCCAGGGUGGCUGCACCCGUUCCGAGGGUGGCCCCCGGGCGGCCGCCUGCCCCCCGGCUGGCGCGGGGGGCCAGUGUGAUGAAGGCAACAACUGUGGGGCUUGGGUGGCAUUGGGGCCACCCUCUGCCCGUCUUGAAACACGGAUCAAGGAGUCUAUGGAGCCUGCGGGUUGUCUGGUGCGGAUCAACAAAACCACAAGGCGUGGUGAAGGCAACCCUCGGCCCGGAUGAUGGUGCAAAAACAACGGCAGGCCCCGGCCGCCCGGCCGGAUGGCAAGGUCGAACAGGAAAAGACUGCACGGGCCACCGGUCCCGCAGUCCAGCGGACAGGGUUCUGAGUGCGUGCAAGGUCCAUGGGACCCGAAAGGUGGUGAACUAUACCGUUCCACGACGAAGCCAUGGGAAACUGUGGUGGAGGUCGGUCGCUGUUCUGACGUGCAAAUUGUGUAGCCUGAGCGCGGCAUAGGGGUGAAAGGCCAAUCGAGCCACCUAGUAGCUGGUUUCCUCUGAAGUUUCCCUCAGGAUAGCUGGGCUCCAUCGAGCAAGCCUGGAAGAAGGAACAGGCAGACAAAACAACAAGGGCCGAUCAACAGCAACACUCCACCACCGCGUGUGGUUAUGUCCGGUAAAGCAACGCACGAGAGGCAAACCCUGGGAGGCCUUCCUCCUGGACCUAUUCUCGAACUGUGAAUGGGCAUGGAUGUUACCACGCCAGAAAGGCAUGCUUCUUCACUGGCGCCUGAGCCCGCCCCGGUCCCACCGGCGUGCGGUUCUCACCGGCUUCUGAGCAUGUUCUCCCACCCAGCCGCCGGGUGGCCGCGCCGAGCCGCCCCCGAGGGGUCGGGGCGCCGAGGGGAUGGAAAGUGUGUCAGGUCCAGUCGGAGCAGACAUCGAGAGAGGUGUGCGUGCCGCGCCAGAGGGCGCGCCGCGCACCACACGGCCCGGGUAUGGUCCCGCGCCCCCCCGCGGGGCUGGGAACCCAACCGGGGUCGCCCCGUGAGUGUUGACCCGCCUCUGGAUGGGGAAAUGCCGCCUCUCUCCCUCCUCCCGGCCCCCUCCCUCGGCCCUGUGGCUCCCCGGCCCGCGGUGGCCUUGUUUCGAACAGAGGUGCCCAUGUGGGCCAUCAUUGGUAAGCAGUGCUGGCGAUGCGGGAUGCUCCGAGAGUGGACUUAUGGAUCCAGAGUGCUGGCUCAUACCCAGAUCCCACAAAGGAUGUUGCCUGCUAGGGAUAGCAGGACGGUGGCCAUGAAGGUUGGAACCCGCUAAGGAAUGUGUAACAACUCACCUGCCGAAGCGAGCAGCUCCGAAAACGGAUGGCGCCCAAGUCAGUGAGGCUGAAUUCGUCCCACAGUCCACCGCCAACGUGGCGGGCGAUCUCGAUCGACCUUCGGCAGAGCAUUGGCAGUGUAAGAGGACUCGGAGGCCCGCGGCCCCCGCGGGGGUUGCCCCCCGCCGGCGCGGCCUCCGGAGCAGAUCUUGGUUGCAGUAGCGAGUACUCCAUCGGGUGAAGAGCUGGAACAGCCCACGCUGUGUGCGGUUGAGGACUGGAGUGGAGCAGGUUUCCGCACCAAACAGCCGUUGAAUGCGGGUCAACCGACCGUGAGCCAAGUGGUAAAGGCACCGAACAACCAAAGCUGCACACCGGGGUGCUCGCCCCCCCACGCGCCCGCGGGCCCGCCCCGUCCGUCCUCUCUCGGCCUCCUUCCGGCCUCCGGUCCCUCUGUCGCUUGCCCCCCUCGCACCGAAGCCAAGGCGAGGAAGGGUGCUUUGUGUGCGGUCGGGCCCCGCGGCAGACGCCAAGGGGCAAGGCCAAGCCAACCCCUCCGCGGCGGGGGCCUUUGUCUGGACCAUGGUCGGAGAGCCAAGGAGAAGGGGGCGCGGCGCUUCGGUGUCCCCCGGGCGCGGCAGGGGCGCCACCCAUCGGCAGGAAUGGCAAACAGGCAAGCAAGUGCAACGUUCUGCUGUGCUGGGAUUGGGGCAGAUCGGGAUGGCAACAUCUCAGAAUGCGUGCAAGCAGGACCGCGGGGCAGUGCACCCCCCGAGGAGUUCUCGUUUCCUCCUGACGCAGGCUCAUGUGGGCUAUGGAUUGGCACGACAGGUGGUGGCGUACGCCCUCCGCCCGGCAAGGCAGUGUAGUCUCCACACUGGUGGUCUCACGAUGCUGGCAAAAGAAGGAACCGGAAUGCUCUCGUUGUGUGUCCCCGCGGGGUUGGCCAUGCCCCCACCGGGCCCUCUCACCACCCCGCGGCCCCCGCCGAGGGUCCCCGCCGGGGGGGUUGAACAGGGCGCCGCGGGAUUGUGGCUCGUCCCCGCAGGAAUACCGCUCGUCUCUCUCAGGAUUAUGUCCCACCCAGUCGCGGUGGUCACUGGCUCCAAUGAACAGCCUGCGGGCCCGGGCGUGCCCCUGGGCCCUGGGCUUCGUACUGAAUCACCGCAGCCGGUCUCCUCGGCCAAACGCCGCUUGUCCACGGACGCAAUGCAGCUAAGGGAAGUCGGCAAACUGGAUGUGUACCUUCGGAAGAUACAUUGGCUCCAGAGGCCAAGUCCUGGGGUCCCGCCGUGGGCUCUGCGGCCSUGGGGGCAGCCCGCCCCGCUGGCGUCCCCGGGCGUCGGCGCGGGCGGCCCCGCAGGGGGGCCUCCCCCGGGAGGCGCCUGCCCCCACCCGCUCUGUCUUCUCGUGGCGGGGGGCCUGCCCGCGGCGCCCGCAAGGGUGCGGGGCACGGCCCGCCUCCGGGACUACGUGGUGGCUCGCGUGGAACUGUUGCUGUGCAGGGGAAUCUGACUGUUUAAUUGAAACACAGCUUUGUGAAGGGACCAGCUGGCUGGUGCCAUGAGGUGACUUCUGCCCAGUGCUCUGAUUGUCAAUGCGAAGAGAUUCUGCCAAGCGCGGGUAAACGGCGGGAGUAACUAUGACUCUCUUAAGGUAGCCAAAUGCCUCGUCAACCAAUUAUUGACGCGCAUGAAUGGAUCAACGAGAUUCCUGCUGUCCCUAGGUGCCGUCUGGUGAACCAACAGCCAAGGGAACGGGCUUGGGUGUGUCAGCGGGGAAAGAAGAGCCUGUUGAGA
rnacentral:rRNA from 1 species